UCUUCGAUAGGUGGUUAGGAUACCCGCCUCUCACUCACAAGUGCAGAGAAUCAAUCGCGGGUGGCCGGGGUUCAAUUCCCCGUUUCGGAAAA